rnacentral:rRNA from 1 species
AAGAUUAAGCCAUGCAUGUCUAAGUACAAACUAUAAAAUAAAGUGAAACCGCGAAAGGCUCAUUAAAUCAGUUAUGGUUCCUUAGAUCGUACCACAAUUACUUGGAUAACUGUGGUAAUUCUAGAGCUAAUACAUGCAAACAGAGCUCUGACCGGAGACGGAAGGAGUGCUUUUAUUAGAUCAAAACCAAUCGGCGGCGGUAGCAUUUAUUUGUUAUCGUUCGUCGCUCAAUAAAUGGUGAAUCUGAAUAACUUUAUGCUGAUCGCAGGGUCUUGUACCGGCGACGCAUCUUUCAAAUGUCUGCCUUAUCAACUGUCGAUGGUAGGAUCUGCGCCUACCAUGGUUGUAACGGGUAACGGGGAAUCAGGGUUCGAUUCCGGAGAGGGAGCCUGAGAAACGGCUACCACAUCCAAGGAAGGCAGCAGGCGCGCAAAUUACCCACUCCCGGCACGGGGAGGUAGUGACGAAAAAUAACGAUACGGGACUCAUCCGAGGCCCCGUAAUCGGAAUGAGUACACUUUAAAUCCUUUAACGAGGACCAAUUGGAGGGCAAGUCUGGUGCCAGCAGCCGCGGUAAUUCCAGCUCCAAUAGCGUAUAUUAAAGUUGUUGCGGUUAAAAAGCUCGUAGUUGAAUUUGUGUCCCGCACUGUCGGUUCACCGCCCGCGGUGCUAACUGGCAUGUUUGCGGGACGUCCUGCCGGUGGAUGUUCAGUAGGUUGCAUUUGACUUUCGGGUCUUUUGUUUAAUCCUAUUUCAUCCGACUUAUAAAUCCUGUCGCGGUGCUCUUAACUGAGUGUCGAGGCGGGCCGGCACGUUUACUUUGAACAAAUUAGAGUGCUCAAAGCAGGCUAAUUAAUGCCUGAAUAAUUAGUGCAUGGAAUAAUAGAACAGGACCUUGGUUCUAUUUUGUUGGUUUUCGGAACCCCAAGGUAAUGAUUAAUAGGGACAGAUGGGGGCAUUCGUAUUGCGACGUUAGAGGUGAAAUUCUUGGAUCGUCGCAAGACGGACUAAAGCGAAAGCAUUUGCCAAAGAUGUUUUCAUUAAUCAAGAACGAAAGUCAGAGGUUCGAAGGCGAUCAGAUACCGCCCUAGUUCUGACCAUAAACGAUGCCAGCUAGCGAUCCGCCAAAGUUCCUCCGAUGACUUGGCGGGCAGCUUCCGGGAAACCAAAGCUUUUGGGUUCCGGGGGAAGUAUGGUUGCAAAGCUGAAACUUAAAGGAAUUGACGGAAGGGCACCACCAGGAGUGGAGCCUGCGGCUUAAUUUGACUCAACACGGGGAACCUCACCAGGCCCAGACACUGGAAGGAUUGACAGAUUGAGAGCUCUUUCUUGAUUCAGUGGGUGGUGGUGCAUGGCCGUUCUUAGUUGGUGGAAGUGAUUUGUCUGGUAAUUCC